rnacentral:tRNA from 1 species
UGUAAAAUGGUGUAAGAUGCACUUGAAAUUUUGAUUUUCAUUGAUUAAGUUAAAUCCUUAAUUUUACAA